CCCCUGACUUGAAACUGUGUAGUGGAUGCGUGGAUGAUAUGUGUAUCGUUUGGAAGGAUCGUGGUCGUGGCGAUUGUAUUGCUGAUGUGCUCGCUGAUGCCGCAUUGGGGCUCUCUGCUGGGCUUGAGCGGUCCGGUGCUGAGGGAUUCCAUUUUUUGGAUGUCGGGGUGCUUGUUGAAAGGGGUGAGUAUGUGACAGAUAUAUGUGGGAGACCGACUUGUGGCCCGAUUGUUGUUCCAGCUUGGUCUGGGGACCCGCCCGCGUGUGGGGCUGCGGCGUUCGGGGCCCUCUUCUCUGGGAU
rnacentral:lncRNA from 1 species